UACGGGGGGAGCAAGCGUUGUUCGGAUUUACUGGGCGUAAAGGGCGCGUAGGCGGCCACCGCAAGUCAAUUGUGAAAUCUCCGGGCUUAACUCGGAAAGGUCAACUGAUACUGCGGGGCUAGAGUGCAGAAGGGGCAACUGGAAUUCUCGGUGUAGCGGUGAAAUGCGUAGAUAUCGAGAGGAACACCGAUGGCGAAGGCAGAUCUCUGGGCCGUAACUGACGCUGAGGAGCGAAAGCAUGGGGAGCGAACAGG
rnacentral:rRNA from 1 species